AUGUAAAAAUAAAUGCUUAAAUGGAGGUGAAAUCUUUUUAAGUGAAUUUUUACACAUCUCAUAUUUUCUUACACUAGAUUCCUAGAAGUAUUAUCUAAUCAAAGUAUACCUUUAUUGGGAUCUGUAUUACCAUAUUGCAUUCCACAAAGGGUAUACCAUUUUACAUUCUCAAAAGUAGUGUCAUCUACACUGUUAAUUAUUCUAAUUUUAACUAUUUUGGUGGGUGAAAAGGGACAUGACAUUAUUUUACUUUGCUUUUUGUGAACUUAAAUAUUGUUUGUGUAUUGAUCAUUUGUAUUUCCUCUCUUUGGAAUUGCCUGUUAAGAUAAAAUGCAUUUUAAAAAUUAGUCCUGUUGGGAGAACUUUGUAGGAUCAAGAAAAAAAUGAUGGAAAAGAAUCUAACAUUUUUAUGCCUCUCACAUAUCUUCAGUAUCAUAAAUACAUAAGAUGGAUGUAGAUUAAAUAUUUGAUUUCUAAGUCUUUUAUAUUCCAUUCUCUUUAGAUGUUUCAGUGUAAUUGUCAGUAAAUUUUAUUCUUCUUUUACAGUUGACAUUUUGCUAAAGGCUGUGGGUGAUACUCCUAUUAUGAAAACAAAGAAGUGGGCAGUAGAGCGAACACGAACCAUCCAAGGACUCAUUGACUUCAUCAAAAAGUUUCUUAAACUUGUGGCCUCAGAACAGUUGACCCAAGAGGUAUAGGUCCUAUUAUUUUCCAUAUCUUACAAAUAAAGAGGAUGAGAGAUUAUUUGUAUUUAAAGCCAGGAUUCAAACCCAGUUUAUUUAUGUGAAUCAGUCCUUUGCUCCUUCCCCAGACCAAGAAGUUGGAACUCUCUAUGAGUGUUUUGGCAGUGAUGGUAAACUGGUUUUACAUUACUGCAAGUCUCAGGCAUGGGGAUGAACCACAAAGAAAAUCAUCUUGCUACAUAAAAUGGAUUUUCACAGAAGAGACAGCUCUGAAAAGUUUUGAUGCUUGUGGCAAGAGACUUAACAGACGUGAUCUAUUCAGUAUGUGUCUACUCUAUGUUUAUGCAUAAGAAAACAUCCAUAGCAUGAAUGGACUCAGAAAAAUGUGAUUUGUAUUAAUAUACCAGUCAUCAUAAAAGAUGGUCAUUAUAGUACACCCAUUGCUCCUACUUGUUACUAUUAUUGCUGCAGAUCUGCCUCCAAGGUUGAAAAGGAGACUAAGACUGUAUAAACGUCUUCAUUGCCAG
rnacentral:sRNA from 1 species